rnacentral:rRNA from 1 species
UAGAGUUUGAUCCUGGCUCAGGAUGAACGCUACCUUCAGGCUUAACACAUGCAAGUCGAGGGGAAACGAUAGAGAAAGCUUGCUUUUUCUAGGCGUCGACCGGCGCACGGGUGAGUAACGCGUAUCCAACCUGCCCACCACUUGGGAAUAACCUUGCGAAAGUAAGACUAAUACCCAAUGAUAUCUCUAGAAGACAUCUGAAAGAGAUUAAAGAUUUAUCGGUGAUGGAUGGGGAUGCGUCUGAUUAGCUUGUUGGCGGGGUAACGGCCCACCAAGGCGACGAUCAGUAGGGGUUCUGAGAGGAAGGUCCCCCACAUUGGAACUGAGACACGGUCCAAACUCCUACGGGAGGCAGCAGUGAGGAAUAUUGGUCAAUGGGCGAGAGCCUGAACCAGCCAAGUAGCGUGCAGGAUGACGGCCCUAUGGGUUGUAAACUGCUUUUAUAAGGGAAUAAAGUGAGCCUCGUGAGACUUUUUGCAUGUACCUUAUGAAUAAGGACCGGCUAAUUCCGUGCCAGCAGCCGCGGUAAUACGGAAGGUCCGGGCGUUAUCCGGAUUUAUUGGGUUUAAAGGGAGCGUAGGCCGGAGAUUAAGCGUGUUGUGAAAUGUAGACGCUCAACGUCUGCACUGCAGCGCGAACUGGUUUCCUUGAGUACGCACAAAGUGGGCGGAAUUCGCGGUGUAGCGGUGAAAUGCUUAGAUAUCACGAAGAACUCCGAUUGCGAAGGCAGCUCACUGGAGCGCAACUGACGCUGAAGCUCGAAAGUGCGGGUAUCGAACAGGAUUAGAUACCCUGGUAGUCCGCACGGUAAACGAUGGAUGCCCGCUGUUGGUCUGAAUAGGUCAGCGGCCAAGCGAAAGCAUUAAGCAUCCCACCUGGGGAGUACGCCGGCAACGGUGAAACUCAAAGGAAUUGACGG